CCUACGGGUGGCAGCAGUGAGGAAUAUUGGUCAAUGGACGAGAGUCUGAACCAGCCAUGCCGCGUGAGUGAAGAAGGUUUUCGGAUUGUAAAGCUCUUUCGGAUGUGACGAUGAUGACGGUAGCAUCUAAAGAAGCCCCGGCUAACUUCGUGCCAGCAGCCGCGGUAAUACGAAGGGGGCAAGCGUUGUCCGGAUUUACUGGGCGUAAAGGGAGUGUAGGCGGUUUAGUAAGAUAGUGGUGAAAUCCCAGGGCUUAACUUUGGAAUUGCCAUUAUAACUAUGAGACUAGAAUUAAGGAGAGGAUAGCGGAAUACCCGGUGUAGAGGGGAAAUUCGUAGAUAUUGGGUGGAACACCAGUGGCGAAGGCGACUAGCUGGAUGUAAAUUGACGCUGAGGCUCGAAAGCAUGGGGAUCAAACAGGAUUAGAUACCCGAGUAGUC
rnacentral:rRNA from 1 species